CGGCGUCGAGCGGCGGACGGGUGAGUAAUGCCUAGGAAAUUGCCCUGAUGUGGGGGAUAACCAUUGGAAACGAUGGCUAAUACCGCAUGAUGCCUACGGGCCAAAGAGGGGGACCUUCGGGCCUCUCGCGUCAGGAUAUGCCUAGGUGGGAUUAGCUAGUUGGUGAGGUAAGGGCUCACCAAGGCGACGAUCCCUAGCUGGUCUGAGAGGAUGAUCAGCCACACUGGAACUGAGACACGGUCCAGACUCCUACGGGAGGCAGCAGUGGGGAAUAUUGCACAAUG
rnacentral:rRNA from 1 species